UCCUUGCUUCCCUUUAAGCUAGCUGGAUUCGACAUAGUGAUAGGCAUGGAUUGGUUAUCGAUAACCAAGCCCAGAUUCUGUGCAAAAGAAAGCAAGUGAUAGUUAAGACUCCGUCCGGUGAGUCCCUUACUAUUCAAGGAGAUACCCAGCAUGGAUUGCCGGAACAAGUGUCCAUGCUCAAGGCAUCCAGAUGCAUGCAGAAGGGAUGUGUCAUUUAUAUGGCACAAGUUACCAUUGAUGAACCGAAGCCGAAGAUUGAGGAUAUCCCUGUCAUCUCAGAAUAUCCUGAGGUAUUCCCUGAAGAACUACCCGGUUUGCCACCGGAUAGGCAAGUGGAGUUCCGAAUAGACAUUAUUCCGGGUGCAGCGCCUGUAGCAAUAGCACCAUAUAGAUUGGCACCAACGGAGAUGAAGGAGUUGAGGA
rnacentral:lncRNA from 1 species